rnacentral:rRNA from 1 species
AACGAACGCUGGCGGCAGGCCUAACACAUGCAAGUCGAACGGCAGCACAGAAGAGCUUGCUCUUUGGGUGGCGAGUGGCGGACGGGUGAGUAACACGUAGGAAUCUACCCAGUAGUGGGGGAUAACCUGGGGAAACCCAGGCUAAUACCGCAUACGCCCUGAGGGGGAAAGCGGGGGAUACUCGGACCUCGCGACAUGGGAUGAGGCUGCGUCGGAUUAGCAAGUUGGUGGGGUAAGGGCCCACCAAGGCGACGAUCCGUAGCUGGUCUGAGAGGAUGACCAGUCACACCGGAACUGAGACACGGUCCGGACUCCUACGGGAGGCAGCAGUGGGGAAUAUUGGACAAUGGGCGCAAGCCUGAUCCAGCCAUGCCGCGUGGGUGAAGAAGGCCUUCGGGUUGUAAAGCCCUUUAGGUGGGGAGCAAGGCAUUCAUGCUAAUACCAUGGAUGAUUGACGUUACCCACAGAAUAAGCACCGGCUAACUCCGUGCCAGCAGCCGCAGUAAAAC